rnacentral:lncRNA from 1 species
CUCGACCAUACACCUCCAAACUCCUUCCAUGCCUUCUUAAGAUCAGUCUCAGCCAUUCUUGGACUUGACUUCACCCAUGAUAGAUGCUUCAAGACACUCCUGAAGCUUUGCUGAACUCUUCUCAAGGUCUUCAAGGGCUUGCCCUAUUUAUGAACAAGCUCCAUUCUUCUCUUCAGUUCAACACUCCCCCUCAAGCUUAACUCUAGGAGAUCCUGAGUUAAGCUUGGAACCAUGAAGAGCUUCCUCAUUAAAAACCUCACCAAGGAAAACCCUUUGGGACAAAACCUUGAUGAGGGAAAAAGAGUAAAGCCUCCACGGCCUAGGGAUUGGCCAGUGAGUCUUUGUGCCUUACCAUCAAUGUAAGGGACACAAAGACUCUGGAUCAUGGCCUCUUCUUGUGAUGCAAGGUUGAUC